rnacentral:sRNA from 1 species
AAGAAAGUAACUGCCGCCCCGCACAGGGGCGACGCUAAUAGACCGAUACGAAAACGCGGAUGCCAGCGCAGAAGCCAGAAGCCGCUA